AUGGUAGUGAGCCCAAAUGAUCGACUAUGAUUAUACUAUGCGCAACCGUAAUCCAUCGGGAUCCCAAGCCAGAAAUCUGAUCCAU
rnacentral:snoRNA from 1 species